UGAAUACAUAGGCAUGCAAAGCGAACGCGGCGAACUGAAACAUCUAAGUAGCUGCAGGAAAAUAAAUCAACCGAGAUUCCCAAAGUAGUGGCGAGCGAAAUGGGAAGAGCCUGUACGUGAUAGUCGAGCUGAUAGUGGAAUCCUUUGGAAACAGGAGCCAUAGCGGGUGAUAGCCCCGUACACGAAAUCAGAGCGGUGGUACUAAGCGUACGACAAGUAGGGCGGGACACGAGA
rnacentral:rRNA from 1 species